GGUCAAAUCAUCAUGCCCCUUAUGUCUUGGGCUACUCACGUGCUACAAUGGCUGCAACAGAGUGACGCGAGCUUGUGAGAGUAAGCAAACCACAAAAAAGCAGUCUCAGUUCGGAUUGUAGUCUGCAACCCGACUACAUGAAGUUGGAAUCGCUAGUAAUCGCGAAUCAGCAUGUCGCGGUGAAUACGUUCCCGGGCCUU
rnacentral:rRNA from 1 species